UGAGGAUUGUUUUUGCCCUCUUCCCUUCUCACUGGAGCCUGCCUUCUUGUGCUUGUGACGCAGUUAUACUUUCUCUUCCUUCACAGGGAGAAGGCAGAUGGUCACUUUGUCUCUCCACUUUGGAAGAGAUUUUACUUUGAGACAAGAUCCCGUUGCAAUGAAGACCAGUGAUACCCAGUUGGUUUUGGAAGACUGCCCUGUAUGUUUCUACAAGGCAGUGUUUGAGAGUUGCUGCUACCUGUGGUGCAAGGCUGGCCACUCCUUCUCUGUGAGGAUCAGCGCUUCUCACUGAAGGUGUGAGAAGCAGCAGAGACGUCCUGCCAGAGCUGCAAGAGAGAACACAGCGUGGUAGAGCAGUGAUAAUUAGAACUGUGAUGCUGGCACCAGAAAAGACAAAAGCGAAUAGAGCAGAAGAGAAAUAAAAAG
rnacentral:lncRNA from 1 species